CUCCAGACUCCUACGGGAGGCAGCAGUGAGGAAUAUUGGUCAAUGGGCGCGAGCCUGAACCAGCCAAGUCGCGUGAGGGAUGAAGGAUCUAUGGUUCGUAAACCUCUUUUAUAAGGGAAUAAAGUGCGGGACGCGUCCCGCUUCGCAUGUACCUUAUGAAUAAGGAUCGGCUAACUCCGUGCCAGCAGCCGCGGUAAUACGGAGGAUCCGAGCGUUAUCCGGAUUUAUUGGGUUUAAAGGGUGCGUAGGCGGAAUAUCAAGUCAGCGGUAAAAAUUCGGGGCUCAACCCCGUCGUGCCGUUGAAACUGAUGUUCUUGAGUGGGCGAGAAGUAUGCGGAAUGCGUGGUGUAGCGGUGAAAUGCAUAGAUAUCACGCAGAACUCCGAUUGCGAAGGCAGCAUACCGGCGCCCAACUGACGCUGAAGCACGAAAGCGUGGGUAUCGAACAGGAUUAGAUACCCGUGUAC
rnacentral:rRNA from 1 species